GACGAACGCUGGCGGCGUGCUUAACACAUGCAAGUCGAACGGGAUAAUUUGAGCGCUUGCUCUUAGAGAAUCUAGUGGCAAACGGGUGAGUAACACGUAUACAACCUGCCGACAGGAUGGGGACAACAUUCCGAAAGGAAUGCUAAUACCGAAUGAAGCGGAGGGGGGGCAUCUCUCCUCCGUGAAAGAUUGCCUCUGAAUAUGCUAUCACCUGGCGAUGGGUCUUCGUCUGAUUAGCUAGUUGGUGAGGUAAAGGCUCACCAAGGCGACGAUCAGUAGCCGGGCGGAGAGGAUGAACAGCCACAUUGGGACUGGGACACGGCCCAGACUCCUACGGGGAGCAGCAGGGGGGAAUCUUCAGCAAUGGGCGCAAGCCUGACGGAGCAACGCCGCGGGAGGGGAGAAGGGCUUCGGAUCGUAAAGCUCUGUUGACGGGGACGAACGUGCGAAGGGUGAAUAAUCCGUUGUAAUGACGGUACCUGUCGAGGAAGCCACGGCUAACUACGUG
rnacentral:rRNA from 1 species